GGUCUUUGGUGAUUCAUAGUAACUUUUCGAAUCGCAUGACUUUACGUCGGCGAUGGUUCAUUCAAAUUUCUGCCCUAUCAAGUUUCGAUGGUAGGAUAGAGGCCUACCAUGCUUUUUACGGGUAACGGCGAAUUAGGGUUCGAUUCCGGAGAGGGAGCCUGAGAAACGGCUACCACAUCUAAGGAAGGCAGCAGGCGCGCAAAUUACCCAAUCCUGAUUCAGGGAGGUAGUGACAAUAAAUAACAAUCCAGGACUUCGGUCUUGGAAUUGGAAUGAGAACAAUUUAAAUCUCUUAUCGAGGAACAAUUGGAGGGCAAGUCUGGUGCCAGCAGCCGCGGUAAUUCCAGCUCCAAUAGCGUAUAUUAAAGUUGUUGCAGUUAAAUAGCUCGUAGUUGAAUCUUGGGGCUGGUUUGGCGGUCGCGUCUUUGACGUGUACUGUCGGGCGGUUCUUUUACUUGUGGGGAACGUAUGUGCCCUUUGCGGGGUGUGUACGGGAACCAUGGUGUUACUUUGAAAAAAAUUAGAGUGUUUAAAGCGGGCGU
rnacentral:rRNA from 1 species